rnacentral:tmRNA from 1 species
GGGGAUGAAAGGAUUUCGACGGGGACUAAGAAGUAUCAUAAGCAUGCGGCGGCGCACUAACGCCUCAACAAAGUGCACCUAAACUUUAAAGGACAAAAACGAAACUGUUCUUUGUGCUGCUUAAUAGAUAGCAGCACCAUCCGUCCGGGUUACUGCGCCUCGGGUAGCGGGUGUCGACAGCAGUAAAGGUGAACGGGUGAGUGGCUCGUAGCCUGUCAUCAAUCAGAGCCUACCGAUUUGCAAAGUUCGUGUGCGAGCGUUGCAAAAAGGGAAACUCCAAUCGCACAAUAAGCAUGUAGAAAGUGGUAUGGGCGAGUUUUCGGACGCGGUUUCAAUUACCGCCAUCUCCACCA